AUGCAAUCAACAUCUUUCUGAACUCUUAGAGGAUUGGAGGACAUUUACAGGAAAAUGGCAUUAGCCUCAUAUGGAAACACUUUGACAGGCCCCUGAAAAUAAUUCCUUAACCACAAACAUGUCUUCUACUUGUCUGAUCUCAAAUUGUUCCAAUCACAGAGAGCUAUGUGUGUCGUGUUCACCUGAGGAGAAGAGGGCAGGUUAGUAGUGCUUCCUCUGCGUUAGUCUUGAUAGGGUUUUCAUAUCAGAGU
rnacentral:lncRNA from 1 species